rnacentral:tRNA from 1 species
GAUCUCAGUCAGUAGAGCAUGAGACUCUUAAUUCCAGGGUUGUGGGUUCGAAUCCCACAUUGCG